UGGAUCAGUGAUGGCUAUUGGUGGAAGUGAAUGAAUUAAUAACAUUGAGUGUGCCUUCUGUGUAACUCCGAGGUCCAU
ensembl:snoRNA SNORD113-5 Small nucleolar RNA SNORD113/SNORD114 family